GCGCUUGAUUUUAUCACAGGGAGUCGGUUUAACCGGGGAGUGUUUUGUUUGCGGUGAAAGAUUAAGUUUUCACGGAGAAACAUCAAAGUCCCGACAGUUUCACGCAGCCAUGCUACGAUGACUCCGCCCACGUUGAGGAAGUACCAAAGAAGAUACCAAACUGUGUCAUGCCGAGGAGAGGCGAGGCGUGCCAGGACUGUGUAGUGGAGCAAUAAAGAGGCCGAGGGGUGAAACAAAGUGCCGAGCUGGGCAAGAAAAGACAAGCAAGUGUUUCCGAUACGACGCCUGAGGCUGUGAAACAGACGCCCAGCAGCUGUUGGUGCUGGAAAACAAUUAAAUCUGGCAUUUAAUUAGAGGUGACCCCCAAACUCACAACAAUUUGGUGCAGAAUCAAUAUUCACCGCCAACCACACUUUAUUGUUCAUUAUUGGAGAUAAUCAAAUCUCAAAGUCCUGCAGUUCUGUUCCAUUGACGUCUCUUAUUACCGUAGGAAGUAGAGUGACGUCAACACAAAGCUUUUUAGUUUUAGUUUAUUAAUUUUUUCGAACAUAAAGAAGAGCGAGUGUGCAAAUUCACAAAUUCUUUCUUUUUUUCUUUUUAUGUUUGAAAAGGAGUUGGAAGUUUAAAAAAUGAUUUCAUCUCACCCCUUCUCCUUGAAUUAAUCAGUCAACCCGGCUUCAUGCAUUUAUUUCGCGUAGAAUCCAAAAAUAAACACAUGACGGACAGUGAACCAUCCAUUAAAAAAAACAUAACUCUGAACUUACAGCUACUUUAAUGAAUUCAAUUUAAUACUUUACUUUAACUGAAGUAAUACUUUUGGUACAACUUGGCCUUGGCUUUACCGUCCUUUGCACGUGACUGGAAACUGCUGGUGGAUAUUGGCCAACAGCCGGUGUUUCCUCCAGAGAUCGCUACCACCACCAUAAGACUUGAACUGGUGCUCUGGUCCCCUUCUCUAAAGAAGGUCUAUAUCAUCGAGCUCACAGUACCCCAGGAGGAUUCCGUGGACGAGACAUACGAGCGAAAACACCUGCGUUAUGCUGAGUUAGCUGCUGAAGCACAAAAUCGCGGCUGGAACACGGAAGUCCACCCAGUGGAGGUUGGACGCAGAGGAUUCGUGGCCACCAAACUGUUGAGAGACCUGGGAGUCCGGGGCCAGAACCAGUGCACAGCCAUGAAAACUGCAUCAGAGGCAGCAGAGAGAAGCAGCCAGUGGCUCUGGAUGAAGACGAACAACCCCAAGUAGCAAGUCAGGAGGUAUGCAGGGACAGGACGCCCCUCCCAUGAAAUGUACUCACGGACAAAAACCUGAUAAAGGCCAGAAUCUGUGGUUGGAGCUGAGUAUAAAGACAGAUCUCAAGACAGACAAAGACAGAUUUUAUAAUCUGAGGACAAGGUGAAAAAGACGCAGUUAAAAUGAACCUGAAACACUUCAUGUGUGCGGUGACUUAGACGAUCCUUCUCUUGAUAAAUGAUGAUAAAGAUAAUUCAGUUUCGCCGAUCGGUCGAUUGUGUCACAAGCUGUUUCAUGGCGAAUGGUGACAAUUUGCCCAAAAUUGGCACGCUUGCCUUGGCCUCGGCCUUUUGAAUCCGCGAAAACGUUCAAUAAUGUUUUGCGUUUGAUUUAAUUAGUGCAAACUAAUUAGUGCAAACUGACACGUUUCUUCUUUUUUUUUUUUUAGUUUGUUCAUUUACGAAGUUUGCAAAUCGCCAAAAUUGAUAUUUUUUUCUGGGUUGUUUGGGUUAAAUAUUUUUGAUCAACUGCAGUCCUGAUCAAACCAAUAAAAUAUUGAAUAAUUAUCAGGAUUUAACCCAUUAAAUGCCGAGUUGUUUAAGAAAGUUGUAAGAAAUUUAUGCAGAAAAACUAUCAAUCUGUAAAUUUGACAGAAAUUUGACAAAACGUUUUUGUGUUCACAUUUUCAACAGGUACUGGUGAAGUCAAACUAUCUAAUGAAGGUGCUUCUAAUGAAGAAAAGGAACAAAAGGAUAGCGGUGUUCAGACUGAUGAAGUAAAGACUACUGAUGCUCCUACCGUUGCUUCUGCUGAAUGAAAAUUAUUACUACUGCUACUGACGCAAACAGGUGCAAUCUUUUUGCAAACAACUGAGUCGCGAUCUCAAUGUGGGCUGUUGUGGAAAUUGUCUCUGUAGACGUACAACAGCAUCUUUGUGACAUGUUACUGAAUAGAAUAAAGUGAUCAAUAAUU